rnacentral:rRNA from 1 species
AUUGAACGCUGGCGGCAUGCUUUACACAUGCAAGUCGAACGGUAACAGGGUGCUUGCACCGCUGACGAGUGGCGAACGGGUGAGUAAUGCGUCGGAACGUGCCGAGUAGUGGGGGAUAACGCAGCGAAAGUUGUGCUAAUACCGCAUACGUACUGAGGUAGAAAGUGGGGGACCUUCGGGCCUCACGCGAUUCGAGCGGCCGACGUCUGAUUAGCUAGUAGGUGAGGUAAAGGCUCACCUAGGCGACGAUCAGUAGCGGGUCUGAGAGGAUGAUCCGCCACACUGGGACUGAGACACGGCCCAGACUCCUACGGGAGGCAGCAGUGGGGAAUUUUGGACAAUGGGCGAAAGCCUGAUCCAGCCAUGCCGCGUGUCUGAAGAAGGCCUUCGGGUUGUAAAGGACUUUUGUCAGGGAGGAAAUCCCUAGCGUUAAUACCGCUGGGGGAUGACAGUACCUGAAGAAUAAGCACCGGCUAACUACGUGCCAGCCGCCGCGGUAA